CACGAGCUAAUCCAAUCCAAUCCCCAAUUCCUUCUCCUGCUCGUCUCCCAACCAACGGAGCCCAACUCCGGCUCCGAUCUCCUCUGCCCCAGCCACUCGGCCUCGCCGGCGCGGUGGCCUCCUCUCCCCCAUCCAUGCCGCCAACCUCCCUCUCCUUCUCUCCCAUGGCGCCGAAACCCUAGCCACGGCGACCUAGCAACAGCAGGCAGGACGAGCCCGGCCAUGGCCAUGGCCUCCUCUUCCUCUCUGCCCUGCCACGGCCGCCGCUCCAGCCCCUCUUCUCCUCUCCUCUCCUCUCCUCUUCUCUUCACUUCUCUCCCAAGGGAGGGGAGGGGAGGGGAGGGGAGGGGAGGGAAGGGAAGCCAAGGGCCCAGAUCAAGCGGAGCGGCGCCCAGAUCCGCCCGCAGCGGCACCGGCGAUCGGAUCCGCGACCCUCCUCGAGGUCGGCCAUGGAGCGCGACAGCAGCCAUGGACGGCAACGCCCGAAACCCUAGCUAGCCCUCAACCUCCAAGGACGUGCGCCGGCUGCUCUCAGCGGGGAGCACCUCGACGCCGGCCAAAGGCCAUCACCAUCCCCAUCACCAGCAUCCCGCGUGCGUGAGUCAAGGAGGAAAGAGGAGGAGGCCAUCGCCAUGCUCAGAUCCAUAGCUCCUCUUUUCUCUUCAAUUUUGUCAAACUUGAAUGUGAUGAACAGGGUCAUGAUACUAGUGCUUGAGUCAUGAUACGCACACCCCAAACCUCAUCAUCUUCAUGCUUGCAACUUGUAGGCCAUGAAAGCUGCUCCUUCCCCGCCAUGACCACCCUCUCCCUCUCAUGGAAGGUUUUUUGAUUUGAUCUCAAAUUGGCCAUUCUUAUGUGUUAGAGCAGCAGUAGCAGCAGCAGGGUUCCUUGGUGGAUACAACAGCAGCAGCAGAAAGAGGACACCAUGGUGGGUACAGCAGCAGCAGCAGGGUUCCUUGGUGGAUACAGCAGCAACAGCAGAAAGAGGACACCAUGGUGGGUACAGCAGCAGCAGCAGGGCUGCAUCUUCAAGGUCAGCAGCAGCAGCGGCUCGAUGGACGGUGAUCCCUUCUCCACCUCUCGUUUCAUAUGCAAGCAG